GAUGAACGCUAGCGGGAGGCCUAACACAUGCAAGCCGAGCGGUAGAGUUUCUUCGGAAACUUGAGAGCGGCGCACGGGUGCGUAACACGUGUGCAACCUACCUUUAUCUGGGGGAUAGCCUUUCGAAAGGAAGAUUAAUACCCCAUAAUAUAAUGAUUGGCAUCAAUUAUUAUUGAAAACUCCGGUGGAUAGAGAUGGGCACGCGCAUGAUUAGAUAGUUGGUGAGGUAACGGCUCACCAAGUCAAUGAUCUUUAGGGGUCCUGAGAGGGAGAUCCCCCACACUGGUACUGAGACACGGACCAGACUCCUACGGGAGGCAGCAGUGAGGAAUAUUGGACAAUGGGUGAGAGCCUGAUCCAGCCAUCCCGCGUGAAGGAUGACGGUCCUAUGGAUGGUAAACUUCUUUUGUACAGGGAUAAACCUACUCUCGUGAGGGUAGCUGAAGGUACUGUACGAAUAAGCACCGGCUAACUCCGUG
rnacentral:rRNA from 1 species